GACGAACGCUGGCGGCGUGCUUAACACAUGCCAGUCGAACGGAAAGGCCCUGCUUGCCGGGUACUCGAGUGGCGAACGGGUGAGUAACACGUGGGUGAUCUGCCCUGCACUUCGGGAUAAGCCUGGGAAACUGGGUCUAAUACCGGAUAGGAGCCAUUUUUAGUGUGAUGGUUGGAAAGUUUUUUUCGGUGUAGGAUGAGCUCGCGGCCUAUCAGCUUGUUGGUGGGGUAAUGGCCUACCAAGGCGGCGACGGGUAGCCGGCCUGAGAGGGUGGACGGCCACAUUGGGACUGAGAUACGGCCCAGACUCCUACGGGAGGCAGCAGUGGGGAAUAUUGCACAAUGGGCGCAAGCCUGAUGCAGCGACGCCGCGUGGGGGAUGGCGGCCUUCGGGUUGGAAACUCCUUUCGCUAGGGACGAAGCUUUUUGUGACGGUACCUAGAUAAGAAGCACCGGCUAACUACGUG
rnacentral:rRNA from 1 species